AACCCACAGCAACCUCUGCCUCUCCACCGCAGCCCACAGCCGCAACCCACAGCCAGCACCUCUGUUUUCUUCCAUUAACAACCGGUCCACUGCCACGGCCAAAACCAGUCCAAUUUGACUGGUUUCUCUAAUCCAUCGUUGAUUUCUGGUAAGUGUUGUCUCUUUUCAUAGGUAAAUUAUCCCAACAUGUACUAUAAUAAACUGCAUAAAUAGCAUGUAGCCAACAUGUACUUAAUUGAAUAUAUCACAUAAAUCACUUCAUAGAUCAUAACCAGAUUAUGUAUAAGCUUAUUCAAUUUUUAAAUACUAUAUUGUUGGCAACACUGAAUUUAAGGUAACGUGCUAUUACCAAGAUGAAAUUAGGCCAAAAUAUACUUACACCUGAAGUUUAGUACACUUUACCUGAAGUGUAAAUUGUUGAGAAAGUUGCUUUGGCUGGAUAUGUAUGUUGCAAUGAGAAGCAAGAGCUUCUUUUUUUUUGCUUCCCUGUGAGAGAAAGAAGGAAGAGAUGCUUUUGAGUUUUGAGCAACAUUACCAGCUUCCUAGAAAUAGAUCCUUUUUUUUUUUUAAUUAUGGAGACAACUGCACCCAAUCUACAAUCCACAGUUUUCAAACUCGGGAUAAAACUUGAAUCAAUAAGCUUUCUGUUCAUGGUUCAACUGGAUCAAUGAUAUAAUAUUUUUUAAUUAUUUUAAUAUUACAUAAUUAGGAUGACAUUGAAAUAUUUUUUAAAAAAAUAGUGAAAAAUGGUUCAAAAGCCUGGUUAAAAAAUACUACUAGUUAUGGAUGGCACAAGUUCAUGACUAGCUUAGUUCUGUUGAGCUGACAAAUAUUGGGUCAAAAUUAAGCGUACUUGGAAGGAUCAGUGCACUCUUUUUAGCAGUUGUAGCAGAAUGAUAAUGGAAGAACUCCUGUUAAUUUAAAUCCCAUUUGGAGCUGAUGUGUUAUAAAGAAACUCUUCUAAUACAAAUACUUCUAAUAAAAAGUGCUUUUAAAUUAUCAAACCUAAAGUAUUUAUGUUACCAAAAAUUAGUCACCAAAUGCUCUAGAAAUACUUUUAGUGAUCCUCGAAAAUAAAUACUUUUACUGCUUAAGAAGAUUUUUUUUUCUGCUGAAAUUGUUUGUUAUUUGUUGCAUAAAUGGUGCUUCAGGUUUUAUUGCUAAUUUGGAUAAAUGCAUUUGUAGAAAUGGCGAAAAGCAAGCUGAAAAUUGUUAUUAAAUAUCAUAUGGACUUGACUGCAUAUAUUCCUGCAUAUGUUCCUUAUGGAUUUGACUCAAGUAUAUUUUCCCUUUUAAAUAAUAGGUAUGUACAGUCCUCUGUUUCAUUCACACCAAGGAUUGUCAACAAGUCCUAUUAUGGAGGUUGGGAUUACCCAACAGCUAACCUUUUUCUUGUAGAGUUGUAUAGGAUUAAAGAGCUAUUAAAUGAAAAAGCUCUCAAUUUUUCUGAUCAUAUUAGGUUUAUGGCUGAGAGUAUGGCACAAAAAUUUGACAAGUAUUGGGGUGAAAGCAAUGACUUGAUGUCUUUGGGUGCUAUUCUUGAUCCGAGGUACAAAAUGAUCCUUGUUAAUCAUACUUUUUCAGUUAUUUAUGGAGAAGAUGCAGCCCCUAGGUACAUUGAUGAGAUUAGAUGCAUUCUUUAUGACCUCUAUAAUGAAUAUGUGGAUGCUCACAUCUCAUCUCAUAGUGAGGAACCACAAAGAGAAGCUGGAAAACGAAAACAUGCAGAAAUUUCAAGUAAAUCUACCCAAGGGGCUGCUAAAAAACUUGGAGUUAAUGUUCUAACUGGGAAAGAAAAAUUUCAGAUGAUUGUUAGUGAAAUUGACAAGGCUCCUCCUGAAAAAUCAGAUUUAGAUAUCUAUUUGGAAGAGGGCAGGUAUGUUUGUGAUGCAAAUACAAAUCUUGAUGUCCUGGGUUGGUAGAAAGGGGAAAGGUGGAGAUUUCCUAUAUUGUCAAGAUUGGCAAGUGAUGUACUCGCUAUUCCAGUUACAACUGUGGCGUCUGAAUCUACUUUCAGUGCUGGUGGUAGAAUAAUCGAUGAUAGGCGUGCUUCUAUGUCUGUUGAAACGGUGCAAAUGCUACUUUGUGGGAAUGAUUGGAUCCGCAAUCUUCAUGGGUUAAAAAACAAGUCUCGUGUAAGUAAAAUAUAUCUUCUACUAGUUGUUUAUUUUGGCAGCUCAUUUUAUCUUGUUAGGAGUUGUAACUUUCUUGUUUUCGUUUUGUAGGAACCACUCGAUGUUCCCGAAUCAUCUACAAUUGAAGAAAUUGAUCUUCCG
rnacentral:lncRNA from 1 species